GAUGCUCCAUUUUGGAUGGAAGCAAUCAUGCAUGGGAGGAUACAUGAGAUGUAUGCAGUAUGCAAUUGCUGGGGAUAUUUGGGAUGUGCAUGUAGGAAUGCGAAUGAUUUUUGUUUUGUUGAAAUUCCCAUUUUGUGGGAGUGUUAUGCAUGAGUAUGAUGAUGAUUGAUAUGACUGUGUUUUUUUGAAUUUUCUGUUUGGUAGGAAA
rnacentral:lncRNA from 1 species